CGGUUAUACGAGAGGCCCUAGUUGAUAUUAUUACGGCGUAAAGGGUGGUUAAGGAAAGCACAACAAUAAAGCCGAAUGGCCCUCUGGCGUCAUACGCUUCCGGGUGUCCGAAGUCCAACUCACGAAAGUAGCUUUAAUACAGCCCACCUGACCCCACGAAAGCUGAGAAACAAACUGGGAUUAGAUACCCCACUAUGCUCAGCCAUAAACCUAGACAUCCAACUACAAUUAAACGUCCGCCCGGGUACUACGAGCAUCAGCUUGAAACCCAAAGGACCUGACGGUGCCUUAGACCCCCCUAGAGGAGCCUGUUCUAGAACCGAUAACCCCCGUUAAACCUCACCACUUCUAGCCACCCCAGCCUAUAUACCGCCGUCGUCAGCUUACCCUGUGAAGGCAACAAAAGUAAGCAAAAUGGGCACAACCCAGAACGUCAGGUCGAGGUGUAGCGUACGAAGCGGAAAGAAAUGGGCUACAUUUUCUAUAUAUAGAACACUACGAAUAAUGCAACAUGAAAUAGUGCUUGAAGGAGGAUUUAGUAGUAAAAAGGAAGCAGAGUGUCCUUUUGAACCCGGCUCUGAGGCGCGUACACACCGCCCGUCACUCUCCCCUGUCAAAACGCAACAAAGAUAUAUAACACUAAAGCACUGACAAGGGGAGGCAAGUCGUAACAUGGUAAGUGUACCGGAAGGUGCACUUGG
rnacentral:rRNA from 1 species